AUGGCUGCGACGGCCGUCAAGGGGGACGAGGAGCGGUACGUCAUGGUGGCGUCGAGGUUCUUCCGGGUGAAGCCGGGCGCUGCUGCCCGCCACCACUUCCUCGACUCGUGCUUCCUCUGCAAGAGGAGCAUCUCCCGCGACCGCGACAUCUUCAUGUACAAGGGUGACGCGGCGUUCUGCGGCGAGGAGUGCAGGCAGGACCAGAUGGCCAUGGACGAGGCGCUCCACGCGGCGGCGCGCCGGCACCGCAAGCAGGCCGCGGCCGAGCAGGCUGCCGGCACCGCGCGCCGCGAGGCGGCGGGCGCGACGACGGCGUCGAUGGUGCACCGCCGGCCGACCAUCGCCAACCUCGGCGCGGUGGCGCGCACUCCCGUGGCCGCCAGCUAA
rnacentral:rRNA from 1 species